rnacentral:rRNA from 1 species
GACGAACGCUGGCGGCGUGCCUAAUACAUGCAAGUCGGACGCAGUUGCGAACGGGGGAGUAACGCGUAGGUAACUACCUCUUAGAGGGGGAUAACUAUUGGAAACGAUAGCUAAUACCGCAUACUAGUAGAUGGACCUGCGUUGUAUUAGCUAGUAGGUAGGGUAAUGGCCUACCUAGGCAACGAUACAUAGCCGACCGGGAGGGGUGAUCGGCCAAAAUGGGAAUGGGGCACGGGCCAGACUCCUUCGGGGGGCAGGAAGUGGGAAACAUCGGAAAAGGGGGGAACCCUGACCGAGCAACGGCGGGGGGGUGGAGGAGGUUUUCGGGGCGGAAAGCUAUGUUGUUAAGGGAGCGGUACUUAACCAGAAAGGAACGGCUAACUACGUGCCAGCAGCCGCGGUAAUAC